AUGCAUUCCAGCAAAUAUAUUACAAAAGGUGUCCCACAAUUCAUAAAGUGCUUAAUGUGGAAGACUUGUCUAAAUGCUAGAGAAGGACUUUCUACCAUAAUUCAGAAUCUCACAGCAUUUACAACUUGCUAAGUUGCACUUAUACGAACCACAUGAGCAUGCUUAGUUGCACUUAUACGAAUCGAGGAGUUUGCUGGUCCUAAUUUCUUCAAACUUCAUCGACUCUGAGCUACUAUACUUUUAAUGCUUUCUGCUCUGCGGUAAAUAAUUCUAGAUCUAGUUGGCAGACUCUUUCCUAAAAAUGGAUCAUUCUUUCAUAUUGGCCAGUGUCUAGUAAGUAUUUCUUGAAUAAUUUUAAAAGAAGGAUUAACGGUAAUUAAAAUCACUAGAAAUGCAUUUGUUAGGAACCUUAGGCUGUAUACAAUCAACUUGUGACCUCUUCCCAGCUUUUUUCUGGGCUGCGGUUAUCAAGUGGGUCGCCGUCUUCCUUAAAGCGAUUUGUCAUUAGUUUACUCUGUUGUUAAUAAUCAGCAAACGUAAAGUUACUCCUUAACCAAUUGAAUUGACCGAAUGGACCAUUUUUUCUCCAGGUCUUAUGAUGUGCUCUUAUAAAAUUUUAAAGGCUGUUACAGUCUGCCUUUUUUUGAUUAAUACAGGUUCUGUUUAGAGACGGUGAUAUAAUGGUGUGCGAAAAGUUCUUUUGGCACAUUUUAAACUUCUCAAUAUGAAUAUAUCAAGCAAUGUUGUUCUUCCAGUUACUGUCAUACAAAAAGCACCUUCAACAUGGGCUCUGUGUGCUUGUCAGCCAGGGAGCCAUCAAGGCAGUACAAGCAGUGCUGCUUUAAGGGGCCCUGAUGGGUCAGUUUUCAUGAAGCUUUGCUUAAGUCAACAUCUAUGGCCCCAGUGUUGUCGAGCUGCCUGCAAGCAGUCUAGAGGUAGAAAGUGGGACAUCUCACAUCUGCAUAGAGAGCUGCUACUUAAGUGGAGACAGGAGUGUUACCAGAGGAGAAAGACUACGCAACAAACUGAGUUCACCCAAGAUGUGAAUUACUAUGUAUACGGUGGUGGGAGCACAAUAGGGAUACUUGAGAAAGGGGGGCGUGUCCUCUGAAACGUCGGAAGUGUCUGGCAACUACUCAACUGUCCACCCCUUUGUCAACAAGAGGAUGCCCGGGAAAGGGCGAAGAUAUCCCGGUUGCUGAGGACUGUCGAGCUUGCCUAGUGAGCACUAUGGUACUUAUGAGCGGCUGUAUAUCACAGAGAAAGAGCUUUUGUUUUUGGAUUUUUUCUGUCUGUAUCAGGAACUGUCCAGAUCAGCAUACGUCAAAGUAAGUGGAGAUUCCUACUGUGAAGAGAGCAGAUGUGAAGGGUCAGCGUCAGACGGAGGCAUCAAACCCGUGAAAGUGUAAAACAGUAUGCAUUAAUGUCUAAAAUAGCUACUUGAUGGAUUAGCAUAUGGCCAUUAUAGGAAUUAAUGUCCUUUGAAAUAUAGAUAAUGGCUAAAUAUUAUAUAUGAAAUAAAUUAACCUUUA